UACGGAGGGAGCUAGCGUUGUUCGGAAUUACUGGGCGUAAAGCGCGCGUAGGCGGCUUUGUAAGUUAGAGGUGAAAGCCCGGGGCUCAACCCCGGAAUUGCCUUUAAGACUGCAUCGCUUGAAUCCGGGAGAGGUGAGUGGAAUUCCGAGUGUAGAGGUGAAAUUCGUAGAUAUUCGGAAGAACACCAGUGGCGAAGGCGCUCACUGGACCGGCAUUGACGCUGAGGUGCGAAAGCGUGGGGAGCAAACAGG
rnacentral:rRNA from 1 species